rnacentral:tRNA from 1 species
GCUUGGUUGGCUUAAUCAGUAGAGCAUGUGAUUUUUGAUCUCGGGUUGUGAGUUGAAGCCCCACAUUGGGUG